rnacentral:rRNA from 1 species
GACGAACGCUGGCGGCGUGCCUAAUACAUGCAAGUCGAACGCACUGGCGAACGGGUGAGUAACGCGUAAGCAAUCUGCCGUUCAGAGGGGGACAACAGUUGGAAACGACUGCUAAUACCGCAUACUAAAGGGGGGGAUUGCGUCGGAUUAGCGAGUUGGAGGGGUAACGGCCCACCAAGGCGGUGAACAUUGGCCGGGCUGGGGGGGGUGACCGCCACAUUGGGAAUUGGAACAGGCCCAAGCCCCUACGGGGAGCAACAAGUGGGGAUCUUCCGCAAUGGGCCGAAGUCUGGCGGAGCAACGGCGGGUUGGUGGUGGAAGGCUUCGGGGUGUUAAACUCUGUUAAUCGGGACGCGGUACCGGAAGAGAAAGCCACGGCUAACUCCGUGCCAGCAGCCGCGGUAAUAC